rnacentral:rRNA from 1 species
GAUGAACGCUAGCGGGAGGCUUAACACAUGCAAGUCGAGGGGCAGCACGAGGUAGCAAUACUUUGGUGGCGACCGGCGCACGGGUGAGUAACGCGUAUGCAACCUACCCUGUACAGGGGGAUAGCCCGGAGAAAUUCGGACUAAUACCCCAUAAAGAUAUUUAGAGGCAUCUUUGAAUAUUUAAAGUUCCGGCGGUACGGGAUGGGCAUGCGUAACAUUAGCUAGUUGGUAAGGUAACGGCUUACCAAGGCAACGAUGUUUAGGGGUCCUGAGAGGGGGAUCCCCCACACUGGUACUGAGACACGGACCAGACUCCUACGGGAGGCAGCAGUGAGGAAUAUUGGUCAAUGGGCGCAAGCCUGAACCAGCCAUCCCGCGUGAAGGAAGAAUGCGCUAUGCGUUGUAAACUUCUUUUCCAGGGGAAUAAAAUUUUGUACGUGUACGGAAUUGAAGGUACCCUGGGAAUAAGCAUCGGCUAACUCCGUGCCAGCAGCCGCCGCAGUAA